AGAGAUGUGUGAUGACGCAUAUCAAUAAGCGGAGGAAAAGAAACUAACAAGGAUUCCCUUAGUAACGGCGAGUGAAGCGGGAAGAGCUCAAAUUUGAAAUCUUCAAGGUUCUGCCUUGACGAAUUGUAGUUUAAAGAAGUGUUUUCUGUUAGUGGAGUGGCAAAAGUUCUUUGGAAUAGGACAUCAUAGAGGGUGAGAAUCCCGUAUUUGGUCAUUCCUCCUAGCUUUGUGAUACACUUUCAACGAGUCGGAUUGUUUGGGAAUGCAGUCCAAAAUGGGUGGUAAAUUUCAUCUAAAGCUAAAUAUUGGCGAGAGACCGAUAGCGAACAAGUACCGUGAGGGAAAGAUGAAAAGAACUUUGAAAAGAGAGUUAAACAGUACGUGAAAUUGUCAAAAGGGAAGCGUUUGACACCAGUGUUGUUUUUCCGAAAAUCAAUUACGAAUGUUUUGUUUUUAAGAAGUUAUGACUUCAUCGGCUUGCUUCUUUCUUUACGAAACUUUCUUAAUGCACUUUUCGGUUAACAAGUCAACAUCAAUUUCUUUUGUUGUAAAAGGGUACGAGGAAGGUGGCUUUCUUUUCGGAGAAAGUGUUUAUAGCCUUGUACCUCUGCAAUCGGAGAGAUUGAGGUCUGCAGCGUAGAUCCUUCGGGGCUAGAUACAUUUGUGCUAAGUUAUAGCUUUUCAUAGACAACUUGUUGACUAUGUUAAGUCUUGUAGCUUACUCGCUUAUGCUAUUUUACCUACGCUUAGGAUGUUGAAGAUGUAGCACAUCAU
rnacentral:rRNA from 1 species